CAGCCCUGCCCAGCUGCAGUAACGUGCAGGGGCGCCGCGGAGCACGCUGGGCCCGGCAGCCAGAGGGCAAAAGGCUCGGACGUUGGGCGCCGUGUUUGAGUGACAGGUUCGCUCGCGCCUGUGCGCGUUGCAGUUGCAGCGGUCCCAGGUGCUGGGUCCAGGGCGCAGCGGCAGAACCCGCGUUUUCCCUCCUGGGCCAGUGCGCGCCCCGCCCGAAGCUGGGGGGCGGGAGGAGAGAAAGAGAGAAUAGGGGAAGAUUGAGCAAACUCUGUGUCGGAUGAUCAAUCAGCCGCGAACUGCACCUACGCGAUCAGAAAGCUCCGCGAUAUCGCACCUUAGAAAAAGGUGGAUGGAGGAUUAGAGAAGGGGAAUGCUUCAAGAACAGGGAGCCAUUGCCCUAUAUUUCCCAAAUUGAGAGGUGUUUCAGCACCCUGCGCUUAUAAUCGGAUAUUUACUGCAGCAGUUCCCCGGGGAGUGACAAGUGUGUUGUGGUGCAAGUGGUAACCAACGCACGUCGUCAACUAUCCCUCCGUCUCUGUUCUACUGCGGAGAAAUAUAUCAGACUCUGAAGCAAAGAGGAUUGUGGCACACCCACAGGAACAGCCAUCUUGGAGAAUGUCAGUUAUUGCACAGCUAGCCCUUCAGCAACCAGGCCUUGAGGUGAAGAAGCGAAAUCUCGGGGUGGCAGAUUCGCCUCCCAUCUUGGGUAAGAAGACGAGGAUUGUGAGAGAGCUGAAGGGAAGGUACCAUAGUUAGUUGAUUCAGGUAACUCAGAGAGCUGUCCAAUUAAUCUGCCACCCUUUUGAAGAGGCUUUGGAACAAUUUAAAACAGUCUCCUAUAGUAAGUAGUAGGAGCAUGAUAGUCUCAUCCGGUGACCAUGACAACAGAAAUAGACUAACAGCUGAAAAGGACACAGUUAAUGUGACAUCACAGAUACGUGCUUGUGGCAGCUUUUGGCAACCUAUAAUAUUGGUAAAGAAAAAUAUUCAGUUCUCAUGUGUGGUGUUACUACAGAAAGGCACUUUUAAAAAGACACUUGGCACUAUGGUCCCAGUGAACAGGCCAAACGUGCAUGCUGGUACUGGAAAUUGCACCCCGUCAAAUGCGGGUAAUUUCAAUGUCAAUGUCAGAUGUGAAAAUAAGCAUUUUAUAAAUGCAAACAAGAAAAUUAGAGAGGCCACGGUUAACACUGAAACUUUCAGACGUAUCUUUCCAAUUUUAGAUUUAAGAAAAUUGAACAUGCACCCACUUUUUUCUCUGCACAAGGAAGUAUUUUGAAUAGAACCUUUGACCCUACAGAUAUUUGGAACCACUUUCACAGCUGCUACCUGAAGCAGCAUAUGUAGUUCUGUGCUUAGAAAAGCCUCCUGGGCAUGUUCCCUGAAAAGGAGUGGGGGGGACUGGAAGGGGACAGACUUAUAAACUGAAUGAGAGUGUCUAUUAAUAAUUUAUAGCACCUGUAAGUUGAAUGUAAUCAGCCUUCAAUUGCUGAUGAAUUGGACUAGCCUGUUCCCAAAUGAAAGGGGACUGGCUACUCAGAUUGGUCCAUGAUUCUCACAUGGAAUCUGAAAUCCUGUCUACACUUACCGGGAGAUCUAGUAAAGAUCUGUUCAAUAGAUCUUUGACUGCACUCAUCAUUUCUGGCACUCCACCGGAUUGCAAGGAGUAAGGCAAGUCAACAGGAGUGUUUCUCCCAUCAAACCCCCACAGCAGGGCUAACAUAGUAAGUUGAACUAGGGAACAGCAACUCCAGCUACGCUAUUUAUGUAGCUGGAGUUGCACAUCUUAGUUCAACUUGCCUCCUAGCACAGGCCUGGUCUGUAGCUUGGUAUUCAAUGAAAACAAAGAAAAGAGCAAAUGUUUCAUCAGUCUGGAUCUGAAAGACCUGUUUUUAUGCUGGUUUUGAAAUUAAGCUAGGGAUUGCUGUUACUGAUCUCUGAAAUUUGAAGGGGGGGGAGGGAAGACACUUGGGGUAAUAUUGUUCCAAUCUCAAAAAGGAAUAAAAUAUCCCUUGAAUCUGGAUUAAAGACCCAGAGAAUAAGCAAUGGAUCUAAUUACCUUUAGUUUCACCAAUUUGUCAGUCUUAUUCUGAAAAUAUCUGCUUUUCACAGGGGAUGACCUUCCACCUUAACUCUAGUGUUUGCAGCACAAAAAACACGAAACUAAGUAGGACUCAAGUGCUCUGGUGGAAGAGUCUGAAAUAUCCAAAGAUACUCAGGACAUUCUACCCUUUGUUCUGUCCUACAAAAAUAGUAUUAUGCCAGUGUUUUAUCAUCUGGCAAAUUUUGGACAAAAAGCCAAGCUUUCCCCAAGUGGAACUGGUAACUGGUCAUCACUACCUGGUAAUUAACUCUUAAGUGCACCCAUUUUUCUCCUCUUUAAAUAAGUGCUUAGCUCUGCCAGACCUGUUACUGGCAGCACACACAACUAUGGCACAAGAUGUGUAUGAAAGAAAGAAAAUCCUUCAGACCCAAUCUGAUAUUGUGUCCGCUAUCCUGGAAAUAGGCUGAUGGGAGGCAGGACUUAACCAGACACAGCAAGAGACUAUCCAAAGACAGUAAGCCUCAGUGUUCCCUGUAAGCUGUUCACUUGUGCGGCCAUUCCAGUAGAGGUUCAAAUGUUGACCAGUUGAUUAGCACAGGACCCACAACUAGGUAUUCUGUUUCUAGUUGGUGGUGCACUGUCGCACAUGUCAGAUUUCUUCCACAGCCACAACAGGUAGGUUCAAUGUGGAAUUUUUGAGCAUCCUCAGAAGAGGAGAAAGCAGAAGCUACACCUACAUGCUCAUGGUGACAAAUCAGGUUAAAAGUCAAUAUCUAUUUGUUCCUGCUCAGAGAGAUGCUAUCUCCUUAUCCUCAUUAGAAAAGGUAUCAGCUGCCAAUGGGCUCAAAAGAACUGGAUCCGAGGACUGUUAGCAGGAUGCUUAUUGAAUGAAAUACCAUCUUCUCUCCAUCAAUUAGGAAGGUGAUGCAAAAAUUCUUGUGGCUGAGCCAGACCCAUGAAGGCCAGAGCCGCCAGUCUCUCCAGUAGCUGAGAUCCUCCCCCCCACACACAAAGAACAAAAGGAUCAUGAGUCAUACCUCAGGAUGAAUCGGGUUUCUUAAUGCUUCCUCCUGUUCUCUUAAGUAGGAUCCAACCUUGGAUUCAUUAUGGACCUCAGCAGGGACAGCAAUGGAAUGACAGGGUGAAGAGAGAGAAAAAGGCAAUAAAGAUCUCUCUAGAGAUCCCAUAAGAGUCUUAGGAGGUGGUGGCAUAGAUGGAUCUGGAGAAAGGAGAAAAGCAGAGGAAAUUUAGUCUUUUUUUCAGGUGAAGAAACAGAUGGCAGAUCUGAAGACUUUCUUCUUCAUCAAGAACUUCCCAUAAAUCAGAUUCAAGCACCUCUCAGACAAAACAAGGUGCACCACUGUUAAUAUCCUCUUUGGAACAGAGGAUGGUCCCGGAACAGGGGUGGAGGGUGUAACUGGUACCAUAAGCCCAGAGAGUACCAAAGCAAAGAAUACUCAGCUCCACAACUCUGGACAUUGAAGUGGAACCCAUAACUCAUUUGGGUUGCAAAGUCAGAAGCACAGAGGUUGUGUCAGAAUUGGGUGGAUCCAAUAAGUUUGACGAGUAGGAAAUGGCACUGAUAACAUUGGCCACCUUCACGUUCAGCUUUUUCAGAAUCAGUACAGUUGGAAUCAAAAUAGCCCGAUUCCUUAGCAGGCAGUCAGCUGUUUUCUACCAAUGGUGCCUUCACAUCUUGAUCGCUUUAAUCAAAGGAUCAAGAGCCAGCAUCAACUUAGAACCCUUAACACAAAUUAGCCUUUCUAUAGGGAAGUUAAGAGCCAAAACACAGCUCUUGGUCUUUGGAUCCCAUGAACCUUCAGAACAAGACAAAAUAGUAGCAAGAGCUUCUUAAAGAAAUAGCUGUUGUGGUAAUCUGUUUUGCCAAUCCUUGCAUGCUUGGGAUGUGAAAAUCUUCUAAGCAGAACAUCCAAAAAGGAGAAUAGCCUUUUUCUCAGACACUUAAUGAGUUCAUCCAAUGCCAGGAAGACAGCUGAACAUGAAGCACAUCUUGUGAAACCCAGCUGCUGUUGCUGUUCCAUGAUAGAACGAACUUUAUGAACUCUCUUUACUUAAAACUAUCUUAGUACUAAAAACUAUACUAAGAACUUCUGUCCAGUGCAGCACUUGGAAGGAACUGAGGUGAUAGAGGGUGCUGGGCUCUCUUAUAUAGCUUCCCCCUAGAACAUUCAGAAAGUACUUGAAAUGCUGCUAUUGCACACCACACCACAUUUCUGUAACAGUUUAUGGCACAGUUAACCAAAAGAUCUCAUGAAUGUAUAUUGUUAAUCUUCUUCACUGUACUGACAUG